rnacentral:rRNA from 1 species
UACGUAGGGACCAAGCGUUGUUCGGAUUUACUGGGCGUAAAGGGCGCGUAGGCGGCUUAACAAGUCACUUGUGAAAUCUCCGGGCUUAACUCGGAACGGCCAAGUGAAACUGUCAAGCUAGAGUGCAGAAGGGGCAAUCGGAAUUCUUGGUGUAGCGGUGAAAUGCGUAGAUAUCAAGAGGAACACCUGAGGUGAAGACGGGUUGCUGGGCUGACACUGACGCUGAGGCGCGAAAGCCAGAGGAGCAAACGGG